rnacentral:lncRNA from 1 species
CGGAACGCAGCAGGUGUUUUCCCCUGUGAUCUCACGCGGUGCGCGCCGGCCGCGGCAAAGCGAGCGCGAGCAAACAGCGUUUCUUUUCCACACGCGGGGCACAGAGGUAAUCAGCGGGACGCUUCGUUCCCAGGAACGUGGGGUUACCGAGGGAAGCGUCGGGGAAACGGGGAUUUACACAUCUUUCGCUCGGUGAGCGAGCCGCUUUCAUAGAGCGCCAGCGGGCGAGGUUCCCCGUGCUCCCAGGUGACAUCAGAAAGUGAAAUCCCAGCGUGGCAGCCCGGGCUCCUCCGCUCACAGCGGCCCGGGGAGGGUUUGCUCGGGGGUCCCCGCUGUCGGCUCAGGUCGGGCGCCCCGCAGCGCUGUGGGAGCUCCGCUCAGCGGGGGGGGAAUCCCCGCGUGGGGCCGCGGCCGGGAGGCGCGCAGGAUGAACGGGAUGGCUGAACAACUGGCGGCGCGCCUGCGGAAACCCGAGGGCUGUCGUUACGGAGCGGAGAACCCUUGGCGUGUUCCAAGGCAGACGACCCUGGUUUACAUUUGCUCGUGUCAAAGGCGCUGCAUGCUACAGACAGAGCAGACCGAAACCAACAGAGUGCUUCACAAAUACUGAUGGAGAGUGAAAAUGCAAAAGGAUAACUGCGGCGUCUAAAGGGAAAUUGUCCAAGCACAGGAGAAGAGGCAUACUGGAAAGAGAAGAGCCUUCGUGAGUAGAAAUUAAAGAAUGAUUGUACUUUACUGAGGAAAGUGACUAAGACUUUAGGUAAUGAGUUUGCUGGUGAAUUACUAUAAAAUAUGUGAGAACUGCCACAAGGUCAUACUCGGCAGGGAGCUGAUUCCCUGAUAAACCCUUUCCUCUCCACUUCCAAGCAGUGUUUUCCCCUUCCAGAAGUGCAAGAGCUGAGCUGAGCAGUGGCAGCAGUGCAGGUACCUGGGGUGCAGUGGGGCAGUGCCAUGGCAAAGCCAGGCUCUGAGCAGGAAGCACAUUGCCACAGUUCUUGGACAAUACCAUCAAGGAGGGAAUAUAUUUAUAUUGGGAUCAUUUAACAUUGCAAUUAGGUAUCUAAUCAGAUGGGCACGUUUUUCACACACUUUCUAGCAUGGAAGGAAAGAUGGGGUACUAUGUCAAAAGGCUGUGGUUGCAUCACAGGGACCAAUAACGAAUUUAUGAACUUCUGCGCGUCAUAAUUAAUCUAUCUGCAUCAGAUGACUGAUUGCUCAUUUUGAUAUGUGUAUGUUCAGUAAAGGAUAUGCAGGAGUUUGAAAGAUGAAAAGGUGGAUGGAAAUAUUAUUCUCCAAAUCCAAACAAGCAUUCAGGCUUUCUAGAAGAAAAUCCGAAGGGGAAAUGUCAGCUGAAGACAAGCCUAAUUGAAUUUUGGCAGUCUGUUAGAUCUUAAUUGCCUAUAUAAAAUGGGGGAUAGUGGCACUUCUGCAUUUCAACCGGGUUUCUAAAGAGAAUUGCAUUAAGGAGCAUGAGAUGCAGGGGCAGUUCAGCAAAGGAGGUGGUUUGUAUACACAAGGUGAGCAGACAGCUCAAUAGGGUGCAAUGGCAGAAAACACCUUGCUGAAGUGAGGCAUGGGAAAGGGACAGCUAUGGUACCAGUCCAACCAGUAGGACUUCUCUGUGUCCUUCCUUGAUAGAUUUACCAUGCCAUUCUGGUUUGUAGCGAGCCCUUCGGAUGGUGCAUCCUAUUGUGAUGAUUUAACACACACCUUACAAUACAGCAACAUAGGUGGACUGAAAGAUUUAUGUUGCUGAUUCUGCAACAAAUAUGUCAAGUUCCAAAUGGGCUCUCAAUGACUUCCUGUGUUAUGCUGAGAUAGUUGGUCGGAGGCAUCUUGGUGAAAGACAAGGCCAGCCUACAGUCAUAUCUGGGCAUGAGUCGGAUCUGCCGCCUUUCGUGCACUUUUAUUUAUUGCAGAGACAAUGUGUUUCACUCACAGCUUUCCUCCUCUGACAACUAUUCAUGCAAUUUAAAUAAGCUGCACUCCAGUGUUUGGACAUUGCCCUGCUUUCUACUUGUUUGUUUAGUGAAACUGCCGCAUAACUGCCCCAGCAGAGUCUGGAGUUAUAAACAAGCUUUGACUACAGAAUGUGUGUUUAGUUCAGUUUUCACCUUGACACAGAGCCUUUGCUUUCUGGAGGAGCAGAGACACUCUCCAGAACACAUCAACACAGCGCUGUGCACACACCGAGAACAGCAAGCACGAACUCCCUUGCAGAAAAACAUGGCUAGAGUAAGGCAGCAAACACAAACAUGGCAUGCAGGAUUAGUUUUUAAUAGAGUGCAUGAUUAACUUUACUGCGUUAAUUCAUAUAAGUAUUAAACUUCUUCAUACUUUCGUGACAGAUAAAGCUGCUGUGAACAGACUGGCCUAAAAUCUCAUUUAUGUCAUUUAUGAAUAUAAAUCUCAUUUAUUUUGUUAAAUCCAAAGUAACUCUCCUGACAAUAGCAUGUGGAGUGGAUCUCCAUCAAAGUCUCUAAUAAUUCAUUUCUCCUAAUGCGGUUUUUUGAUCUUUCCACGUGCAGGUGCAAGCCUGAAUGUUUGUAAUGUGUGAGUUUUUAUUUUAUUUUGGGGCAGGAGUGUUUGCUAGGGCUAUAAAUACUUACAUCCAUUCAGAUAUCCUAAGACAUAAAGCCUGUUCUAUUGAAUAUUUUAAUCUGAAUGCACGGCAUCUACCUUGAAAGUGUAAUAUAAAGCUGUUCAAGACAGCCCAGCAAAGGUAAGGCAAAAACAUAGUCAUGAGGUCCAUUCUGUGAUCUGCGUGACAACUGUGACUGAAUGACUAACAGCACUACCAGGAAACAGCCCCCAUCAAUUCUGCAGAGUUAGCAGUGCCUUUCAGAAAUAGGUUUUUCAGGAAUGUGUGCAGGCUUCUUGUGUAGUGACUUACUUGGGGAAGUUCUCAGUGGCACCGCCACCUCCUUGCAAAGAUGGGCAGAUCCUGAAAACGGUACGUUUGCACCACUGAAUUCAUUCAGAGACGUUUUUUCCUAAAGGGAUUCCCUGCAGGGGAGCUAUUAUACAUGUUCUAGCCUGAAACUUGAGCUGGCCAGAGAAUGGAAAUUGUGUUUCACAGACAACUUUGAGAUUUUGAAAUUUGUUUUCAUUCCAAUUCAGAACAAAACCUCAAAAUGUUGAAAUUCUCCACAAAGGAAAAUUCCACAAAAAUAAAUAGUCUUGGCUUAUUUGGAUUAUUACAACUUUUAAAAAUGCAUAUAUUAUGUAAAAUCAAAAAUCUACAUGCUUUAUUCCAAAAAAUUGUUGGCAUAUCUUCCUCCAAAUGCUCUGGGUAAGGGUAAUGAUUCCUCAAAGCGUUGUGAUUCUGACAGAAAUACAUUUUUGAAGGAAAGAUGCUCCAUUGAUUUCCCAUCUGAAGCCCAUUAGCCUUCCUAUUGCUGUGCUAUCCAGACAUCUCGCACUGCAACAGCUGUAAUGCAAAAGCUCUACAAAUACUCUAGCUCCAGGACCGUGAUCUACAGUAGGCCACAUGUGGGCUUCUCGUUGUGUUUUUGUGCUGUGGUGAGGCCCAGAAAGUCCCCACUGGUGUGAGAGAAGAGAGAAGAACUCAGUUUCUGAGGAGAGCUCUGAAGCCAUGGGACAGUUGAUGUGAAGCUGCUCUUGCUGCCACCAAACCCCGGCACCAGAAGUCUUCUCCCUGGCAGCGGAGCAAACAAACAAGCUGCUCAGUGGCAUCAGCACUGGCUCCUUCCACUGAACAGAAAUGACCCACAUGAGGACCUGAGCCCCUUCUCAGUCACUAGUGGGGCAAAGUCCAUGGUGAAGACAAAUACCAGUGUCAAUAGCCUGCAUCCCAGAGCUCAAAGGAGACACUGGUGAUGUGCUUUCAAUGCCUGUGCUGAAUUUUGGAACAUUUUUGUUGUUCCUGGGUUAUCUGAAGAGAAUUCUGUUUCAGUUUUCAUCCACGCCCAGGCAGAAGCUAUGUCCUGCAUUUUCAUUCUGCGCUGCUUUUCUUUGUGAUUUCUUUCUGGCUUUGGUGCAUUAAUUGGUAACUUCAGGCUUGGUCCAGCCUGCCUUAUGGAACCUGUGCCAAGUAAUUCUUUACAGUUAUUCCUUUAGAGCCUUAUGUCUGACAGGGUAAACUGUCAGUACACAUCCAGAAUCCUUGUAUAGGUCAGUAAUGCAGAUCAGUAGGCCUUUCCCACCAUGAAUAGCAGGAAGAUGUGUCUCCAGCUGAAGAUUUCCUAAGGAGGAGUUUCAGAUAAUAUGAUAAAUAAUGGCCAGAGCGUGAUAUGUCAGCACAGCAGCCAGGGACUGAGUAGCCAUGAGGACCAAACUGCAUUCAGUGCAGAGGCGAUGAAGGCAAAUGCCCACCCGUGCUGUCUGCGCUCCCAUCCCUCUUUAGGGGCACAGACUAAGGAAAUGGAGCUAAAAGGCUUUGUGAAUGCUGCUGCCUCUUUGCUUCUGAGAAUCAAAACAUAUUUGGUAUGUGUCACAAGCAAUGACAGUGGCAGGCGAUGAGGUUAUUGGAUGACAAACCUGGUCAUUCAGGUCUAGUGAGAUUCUUGCCCUGUGCGCUGCACUGAGGAGGGACAGUGUUUGGGUCCCUGUUGUAUGUACACAGAGCCAGAAUGUUGUCUACAAGUGGCACAUUUGGGCUCAGUAUAAUUCUAGAAUAUGUUUUUCUCUUUGGGAUAUUUCUGAACUGCAGUCAGCGUGCUCCCCACUAGAAAGUGACAUGUAGGAGCCACCCUCUGUUGUUGAAAAGUUGAUAGAAUGUCUGUACAAUAUUAUGGUCACCAAAAUAUGUCUAAACCUAAUUGGUUGCAUGUGGGAUUGAUUGCUUUAAUAUAAAGAACUGAAUGCACUGAAGACCUGCCAGAGGUUGCAGAAAAAAAGAAAGUCAGAUAUAAGGCCAAAUGUAGCUUUAGCAACUGCUGUUGUAUCACUUCAGUGGAAGGGCUCCCCCAGUGCAGAGCUGUAGCUGGGAUCUGUCAGUGGGAGCAUGGAGAUGGACCUUGGCAGGGCCUGCGCUCACAGCCAUGUCCAUCCUCCGAUGGCAACAUGGUGGUCUGGGCAGCUGCAUGGUUUCGUUUGCAGACAGAGCCAACAAUUCAGUGCAAGAGCUCAAACUGUUUCAGUUCUCUGGGAACUAAAAAUUUCUCUUGAGAAUUUUAUGCAUUCCGUGUCUUAAGCCAUUGUCAGAAACUCUACAAAAGCAUCCAGAAAGAGGCACCGACCUUCCUGGUAAUGCUGCAGCCCUUCAACUUGAACAAGUACUAACCACUGCAGUUUGUACCAUCACUUUGUGCCCCUAUACCACAGCUCCACUUUAAGGCAGGAAUUCACCGUAUUACCAAAAGGAACCAUUGCAGCACUUGUUCCAAACCCAGCCCCCUGGUGCUGAGCCCCCACAGCCUUGCACAGGCUCUAGCUUACUCCUAGAGCCUGCUAAGCUGUAGUUGCAUGACACCGCCCCACUGUCCUGCUCCAUCAGGUGCAGCCCUGUCUAGGGUGCAAACUCAGAGGCUUUCUCUUAGAAUAUUUCAUUAAUGUGAGACAUAUUUCUAGGGCAAAUAAAUGCCAUGAACAUCUUUUUCUAUCAGCUAGUUGCGUCAUCUGUGUUGAUUAGUUGUCAUCUCAAAGCAUGAAAAACAGCUCUGAUGAUCAGUGUUUAAAAGCAGUGAGUGUUGGUGAGGCUGGAGCAAGGACAGCUUCAGUGCAGAACUGCCAUGGAGAGAGAGAAAAGCUUCACCCCAGGCUGAGGGCAGAGCCAGGAGAAGCUGCCCAGUUGCAUUACCUGGCCAAGGGUUGAUACAACACCAAGAAGCACUUCUGAGGCUCAACCUAUGCCCUGCAAGAUGCAAGACGGAGCUCAUUAAACAACACAGUAUGUUGCCAUUGGGCAUACAGAAGGCAAAGAAUCAACUUCCACACUUGGACUUGGUCUCCAUUUAGAUUUUUGCAGAGAAAGCUAUGCUGGUCCAUAGCUAUUAAAGGUAAAGAAAGGCAGUGCAGCUCUAAGCAAUGUAGUUAUGCUGGCAAGGAGCCAUGUGUAAACAGUCAAAUCUUCUUUCUGUUGUGCACCCACCGGCAGAGCAGUGACUGUUGUUCAGGAGCACCCUCCAGUUUGGUACCUUCAGACUCACCGAGGUGUCCCCAGCUGGGGCAAGCAGGGAAGAGGGACUGCACUGGGAAGCCGGAGCGACACAGGGCACUGUGAGGAGCCUGCCUAUGUUCCUGCUCCUGCCUUGCCAGCAGGCACCAUAAAGGCUGCCAGAAAGCAAAUCAGGCUCCUAGCUGGGCGGCUCCAGAUUAUUCACUGGAUAAUCUUCCUCCAGUAAGAAGUGUCUUGAACUGAAAGGCAUCUUUGAUCGACCACUCCUUACCGAAGUGAUCAAAACUUUGAAAUAAAUGGAUCGUAAAUGAGCAUUAACUACAUCAGUGUGAUCUAUUGCUCUGACACCUAUUUGCCACAGGAGGAAGUGUCCGUGUCCGUGUUGGGCUGACUGCAGUCCCUGAUUUGCUAGAGAAGUCGUUGCCAUGGCUCAGCACCGUGCCAGACGGGGCCCCCGCCGCCCUGAGGAAUUUGUGUCAGAUAGAACAUUUCGUACGAUGCAGAAGGUUCUGUCACCUUGAUUCGAAGGAAGUUGUUUGUGUUAAUGCUUAAAGCUCCUCAGGAACAGCAGAGAAAGCCUGCAGAGUGGGAGGGUGACCCUCAUAAUACGUGGAGGAGUGGGAUGCUCAGCUGUGGGAGGACUCUGCUCCAGGACUGCAGGCCUGCACACUGUGAUUGAGGUUAGAAGGGAACACAGGGGACAGGAGAACAGAAGGCUGCUCUUCUGCAAAGACCAAUGAUGUCUCCUGGUCCAGGACACAGAUGCAUGGCAUUAGUUUGGUGAGGCUCUACUAGCAAGCUCAGGAAUGACAGUGCUGCUCUCUGCGCCAUCCUGGAUGACACAAAAUUUGUGCCUAAAUCCCUGGAUGGAUGCAGACUUAAUUUCACUGGCAAACGCUUUGAAAAGUGCAGCCCUCUGUAACACCUCCCGAAGAAGAAAAGACAGAGACAGACUGCAUGUCAUUCCUUCACUCCUGUGUGCCCAUAUCAGCACUCACUGCGCCUACAGAGAAGCACAAGAAUCACACGGUUCCAGGCAAAAUGCAUGUAUGUGAGCACUUCUUCUUCUGUGCAGAACAAAGUACGUCUGCCCUGCAGCUAUCCUGAGGAGUAAGAAUGGCUCACAGUAAGGGUCCUAUACUCCACAGUUAGUAUUUGUAAAAUGUUGUCAGAUUCUCAAGUUAAAGCGAUGAAUGGACCACAUCCACAAGUGCAUUAUGUUGAGUUGCACAUAGCUAUAGAUGUAUGUAGACAGAAAAAAAAAAAAGCAGAUUGACCUCACUGAACUUUGUACAGUUCUGGUCAAUGUUAAGCUUUGUUAAACUUCAAAAUCACAUUUUAAUUCUCCAGGUCAGUGACCCAGCAGCGAUGCACACUGCGCCGGCACCAGAGGAUCACCAGAGGAGCUGUGAACUACCCCAGACAGAAAGCAGUGGUGCAAAGGUACUGUUGGUAAGGGAGAUGGCACUCAGGCUGGGAAGCAUGCAUGUAUGAAACUCAGCCCAAAUAUGCUCCUUUACCUGAACACAUGGGAACUACGUCCUUCCUGCCCUCUGCUUCAGGAGUUGGAGAGCAGGAGCGUUCUCUGUCCUGCCAUCCUCUGCCUGGGAGCAAAGCAGGGCAGGGGAGGCACCGGUCAGCAUUCAGGUUUUGUACUGGCUUCAUGCCAUUGCCACUUUGUCACUGCAGUUGUCCUGUUCAGCUGGGACAGGAGCCACUGAACCACAAACAUGCCCAUGCUGAGCUCUACCCUGGUGGUCUUCAUCCCAAUGUGGGGUCCACCUCGUUCCCCACAGGCUGCUGGGUUCAGUUAGCAUCUCUGUGGUCUCUUUUUCUCUCUGUCACAUCCUUUUCUUUCAGCCAAGUGCCUACUUGCAUGUAGGGCUCAAGGGGUCUUCGAAUAUGGGUGAAAGCAAAACGCACAAGAGAAGUUCCAUGAGGAAGGACAGGCUGGUGACCAUGUUGUCUGUUGUAUGUAAAUAGCUUUCCUUGGCAUUGCUUCUAACUGCUGGGUUAUGGUAGGGUUGUGCUCUUGAAUUUCUGAAUAGAAAUAAGGUGAAAAAUACUACUUUUUCACCUGAUGCUGUGCGCCUGAUGCAGAUGUCUGUGAAAUGACCUGUGUGUUUUAGCAUAAGACCAGAUAAAGGGAUAUGGUUUUAUACCUUCAUGCUCCACAGAAGUUUCUGUUGCUCUGCACCACACAGGGCUUGGCCAGUCCCUGUGUUGCAGCUCACCUGUCCAACUUCAACCCUUGAUUAGCAACUUUGUAGAGACGAUCUGAAGAAAAGCUCAGUGGAAAAGGUGCUCAUUAUCUCCAUAAGAGAUUUUGUCACAGCUGGAUAACAAAGUACAAAACUGGCCAGGAUUCCCCAUCGUAAUCUACAGGUGUUAGUGAUGAAAGUACCAGCCCCUCCGCUUUCAGCUGCACGCAGUAGUUAGGUGCUGUGUCACGCAGUACCGCAUUGUAUCAGUGGAUCUAGAGAUAGCGUACUCAGGUGUUUGUGUGUUACCCAGAGUGUUUCUGUAAUAUAAGUUUGUCUUAGGAAAAAAGAAAAAGAUGCCAGUGGCCUUGUCAGAUAUCUCUGAGCGAGAGCCAGAGUCGUGUAAGGGACUAGAAGUGUGAUAGCCAUUCUCCUACAGCCACAAGCAUCCAGCUGGUAUUAUUUAUGCACCAUUGACAGUGGGACAUGCUCAGACUUGAAGGACUGGUGCUGACCUUCCCUUGCUAAUCAUUUAUACACUCCUUGUUUCGAGCGCUCCACCUUAAGGUUUCUCAUGACUCACGUUCUCUCUGGAGUGAACAAAUAAAUCCUGAAGGACUCUGCAUGCUUCCAAGUGUGUAACCUGUCCCCUCGUACUGGUCCUGUUUUCAGCAACAGAAGCUCUCCAAGUAGCACUGCUAUUUAUUAAGGUGUGACCUCGGAGCCAUAGGACCUUGAGAGCUGAGAGGAUGGUGGCUUCAGCUUGGCUUAGGCUUAUCCUAAACUGUCAGUCCAAUGCUUUUGUGGGUGCCAUGAGGGAGGAAUAAAACUCCUCUGCAGUCUUUGGAAGCAGGAAAAUUGGGCUAGAAUCAUAGAAUGGCUGGAGUUGGAAGCAUGCAGAGUUCUCUCUCCAAAAUGGGGAGCAGUAAUUCAUGUCAUUUUCCUGAACUUCUGUAAGGCUUUAGGCAUGGCCCACAUCAUGUCCUUGUCUCUGCACUGGAGACGUGGUUUUGAAUGGACUGUUUUGUGGAAAAGAAAUGGACUGGAUGUCUGCAUACAGGGAGUUGCAGUCAAUGGCUCAGUGUUCAGGAGGAGAUCUGUGAUGAGUGAUGUGCCUCAGGAGACACACAGCUGUUAGAGCAGGCCCAAAGGAGAGACACAGAAAUGACUGGAGGGCUGGAGCAUUUUGCUUUCAGAUAUCCUUUAGUUGAAGGGAAUGGUAAAUUGAGGCCUAUUUCUGGAUUGUUCAGAACAAAAGACUUGAUCGUGGACACUCAAAUGCUGAGGGUGCUGCUGAUAAUCCUUGUUGUUCUCUCUGUAUUGAUGGGUCCAUCUGGGAGGCAGGGUUGACAUUCCCCCUUACCUUCCACUGCUUCUGGAAGUGGUACAUAAGCAGCAAAUGGUUGCAAAUGCUUUGAAUAUACAAAUAGAGUAGAAAGGUGAGUAUCAUAAAUAGUAUGACUGUAUUACAACGUAUAGGAAUAAUGAAAAACAUCAACAUUGUUGUUAAUUAGACGUGCAGUUCGUGAGCAGAGUGUUGAGCUUUGAGGAACAGGUAGGCCGGAGAGGAGAGGGCAAUAAGAGGGUACAAGAAAAUACCGCCUUGUCUUUGUCCCUUCCUUGUGUACCUCUUCCCUAAGAGGAGCUGCAGGGCAGUAGAGUGGGUGAGAAGGACAUCCCAGCUGGAAGGUCUGCUGAGAGCUUUGGAGAGCUCGUCUGUGGGGUCAGGGUUGGCUUGGCCACAGGGUCAGAGGUGGAGGGGAGGAAGGAACAUGUUUUGGCUUAUGUUCCAGACUGUGGGGCUGGAUUAGGUGCACGCACCUGGGAUAGGCUAAUGAGAAUGGGGACACGUCAGAAUGUCAUUGUGAAGGAGAGAGGCUUGAUCUGCUGUGUUGUGAGCGCUGCUGCCCUCAUGGUGCCUGGGCACAUCUGACAGGACAGAGCUUACCACAGCACUCACAGGGGAGCGAUGUUAGGCACUAUGGGUUGGUCCAGCAUGAGUAACUCAAACUGCAGGGGUGUGAUGCAGAGAAGGAUGUGGUUCUUUUAAUUCCUUCCCCUUGUCCCAUUGUUUCCUUCCCAGGCGCACACAAAAUCUUCCUCUGCCUCUCCCUCCCAGCCCAGCUUUUCUCCUCUCUUUGGUUGUCCUUUUGUCCUUCCCUCCUGUAGAGCCAAGCUCAACAGCGUAACCCACACCCAACAGAAAGGGACUUCUUUUGGCAAUUUCUCCAUAUCUGGGACCCAUAUGUCAAGCAAAACAAUUGCAAAUGGGCUUAGUUGGCAUUCCUUUGGCACGGAAUGGCAGAAAGCACGGGCAGGAGUGGGUUCUUCAGAAAAGCUUGGAUUUCACAGCUGUGCCCAUGAGCGGCACUGGGGGACACUGUAUGACCUCAGAGAGCCUGGUCCCACCACAGAGCUGCAGUGGGAGCCCAGGUCCUGACUCCUUCACUGCAGGCGGGAGGUUGGGAAGGUCAGGCUGUGUGCAAGCAGGUGCCUCCUGUGCCCAGGACAUGGAGGACAUGACCUGCCCUGCCAUUAGCUGUUAGAGUCACGCUCUAGAGGCUGGCUUCAGAGGAUGCGUUAUGUCUUUGUGAAGCACCACACACAGGGUCAGGGCUAGAUUGCCUCAUCACCAAAACACAAAUUCAUGUAUUUGUCCUGAAGCGAGGCUGGUGCAACAGGACAAAAUGGAAUAACGUAACAGCUGGGAGCCAGGGUGUGCUGCAACGUCAGAGGAGAAAUACCCCGGGAGCCCUACAGGAAAGCAAUGGUGAACUCUACUCUCAGAUUAAUCAGGCUUUUAUUUCUGCCACAGUCACGAUGUCAAAGCUUUUCUCUGCAUGCUGAAGAUGCCAUGUCUGGCACUGAGAGCUGCAGUGUGGUGGAGAUACAUCUUUUAAUGGAAGUUCCCAGGCUGCGUGCCAGGACACUGCAAACAGACACAUUUAUGGUCUUUCAGGUACAAACAUGACUGAUUUGUGAUCAAGAGGAGGAUGUGGUUCUUUCCACUCCUUCGCCUUGUCCCCUUCUAUGCCAUCCAAAGCACACACGUCUCCACGAUGCAACCUUCCCAGGGCUGGUAAACAAUAUUCCUAUUGUAAAUUACUUCAGGAUCUUCACAAAAAAAUUAGUACAAUCCCCACAAGCACAGAUUGUUAAAAUACUCUGUAAAUUACUUGUCUGGCUUCACUGGGGUAACUCAACAAGUCCAGCAGCUGUAGGGCUUAUCUCACAUCUCGGUUGCUGAACCUGUGCUCUUUUGUCACUGACUCCAAUGUGUAACUUUGUUAACAUCGAAUAGUUUGCAAAUUGGGAAAAACUCCUCUAGGAAUUUGAAAUUUGUAUUUCCUUAGUGAUCCUGGACCCAAGUGGACAGUGAGAAGGGACCUGAUGCUCAGUGCGUGCAGUGUGCUGAAGAAGUGCAUCUCUGCAGACAGCUGCAGGCAGCCCUGAGCUUGCUGUGCUCGCGCUGUGCAAUGUUCAGGCCGGUGCCGGCCCCACGGCCGCGUUCUGCUAUCAGGGCAGGAACUGUAGAGCGACGUUUUUCAGACACCUCCUUGGGUUUGACAGUGAGGAACGUGGCUGCUCUGCAGUCUUGUGGUGCGUGUGACAGUACGACUGUGCUCGCAUGUACAAAGCCAGCUGCCAUCUCUGUUGCAGUGUUAAGAAAAUAUAAGUUAAAGGUGCAUUAUGUCCAGCAACAGCCCCAAGGUGUGCUGGAUGCAGUGAUCUAUGACAAAGCAGCAGUUUAUGGCCUCACACUACUGUUUUCUGUCAACCCGCUCACAGAGAAGUAUUUGUGGCGUUGUUGGUCCCAUGCUUCAUGGCAUUAUUUCUCCAGGACCGUGAGCAGGGGACUGCUUGUCAUCUCAAGUUGGGUACUGCCUGAUGUUUCUCUUCUAACAGUAAUAUAAAGCCUCUGUGCAUCAAUGAGAGGGGCUGAGAGAUGCAGGAACUGCUGCAUAUGCAGCAUUAUUUACGGAGACCAGUGCUGGGCUAUUUCUCCACCUACUUCACCUCCUCCACUCAAGGGCGUUCAGAUGCCUUGUAGACCAAACGUGCAGGGGGCAGUAAUAUUUUUACUAGGCCAACUGAUAAACAAACAUAUUUUGGGAGCCGUUCCCAGGGCCACGCAGCAGUUCUGUGAGAUGAAGUCCUGGCGCAGGACUCCUGGGCUUUACCAAAAGUCCAGAAACCACUGUUUCUCCCCUCGUGGCCAGUCCUGUCUCAGCAAUAUUUUGAUUGCUCUCCUAUAAAAACUCUUUUCUUUCCCCCCUCUGGGCUGUUAAUGUUACCACAUAGAUAUUUUCUAUCAACCUACUCCAGAAAAUUUAAGUUAUUCUGAAAAGGGAAUUAAGUAAGGAAGAUUUACUGCAGUUUGAAAAAGCCAGCGCUUGCAAGACACGUCCCCCAAGGAACGCUCUGUGAUCCAGGGGAUCAUUUCGUACCAUUGCAUUGGCAGCACUUCCCUGGUCAAUGCCUUUCCGCGUUUCUUCCUGGGAUAUUAAGGUGAAUUUAAUCAUCAGUUAAAACAUCUAGCAAGAUGAAACUUGUUUCCAGAAGCGGUUUGAUUGGAGUCGCAUCGAGUUAUUUAGUUUCCACUUUUUAGUGGCAUUUUUUGCAGCACUGAUUAUCAAGUAGUUGUUGGUUUCACCCCAUUCCCAAUAACUGGGGCAAAAUUUGGAAGCAUUUCACACCGAUCUUUGCAGAGCAAGAGCAGGAUGGUUUGUUCAAUCCCCAUGUGGGAUUUGUUCUACAUUCACUGCAUUGCUGGGUGUCCUCACCUGGCUGGCUGUGCUGCUGUCUCCCUGGCUGUGUGUUGUAACCUAAAGGCGAUUAAAGAUGGCUGCAAGGCGGCUCCAGCUUUACCAUCUAAAACUGAGCGAAUGGAGGUAAGUGGUGCAUAGAUUUCUGAUUCUCUCAACAGAAGGGCCGCUUGCCUUUAUUAUAGCUGGCACUUAAUCACAAACCAAGACACUUCCAGUCUGGCUGUUCAUCUCUGGGCUCUACAGAAAGAGCCAUGGCUGUGCUGAGCAGGGCCUGUGGUGGUGCCAAGCCAAAGGAGAGCCCCCAGUCACCAUCACCAAUUUGUGAACAUGGGUGGGACCAGGCCCUGGCAGGCCCUGCACUGCCCCGGUGUCCUGGCAAAGCCUGCAGGGAGGUGGUCCUGCAGCCCCAGCAGCAUCCCUUGGAAGCAGGCAUCGCCUCGCUGCCCGCCACGGCCACUGAGCGAUGCCUGGCAAAGGUGACUCAGAGGCAGGGAGCCCUGCUAAGGCCCUGGCACAUCCCUGCACUGAAACACUGCCUACAGCCUCCUGCCUCUGCCCAGCUCGCCCUUCCUGCCGCCUUUCCCCCGGGGUCCUAACUCCCGACUUUGUUGCUCUAUAAACAUAAUAACAAUAAUUAUUCUCUCAUUGGACACAUAGCCAUCUUCUUUGUUUGCAGGCUUAGAUAAAUAUCAUUCAAAUCAUGGAGUCUGAUUCAUGAGUCAGGAUGAUGGCAGCCCUCCAAAACCUCCUUGCCCAUGGAGAGUGUGUUUGUGUGAGAGAGAUAGAGAGUUUCACUGUAUGAAGCGUAAGAAACUGGAAGCCAAGUGAAUUAAAUACAAAGCAGAUAAUUAUGUGUAAUUCAUUUACUGACUAAUGAUUGCACCUGGUACAGAAGUUUAUGAAUUCAUUUCACUCUGCAUUUGUUCUCAAAAAACAAUCUCUCUGCACAAGAUAAAAACUAGGCCUGUGUUUACGUUGGUAUUAUUGUAAGAUUCUGUCUCUCUGGUUCAUUCCCCAUUUUUUCUCACGACGUUUCACUUCUCCUGAGUUCACCUGGUGUCUCCUUGGCAGCGACAGCUGCUCCGUGCAGGCAGGGGCUGGGUGUCACAGCAGAAUGGAGCCUUUGCUUCUCUCCUGCAGUCUGUGUGGUGUGAUUACACACAAGGCUUAUCUCCCAUGUGCUACAGCCAAACUUUGCCACCGAGGCUGUGCCUGCAGUGGGGAUCAGCAGGUCAUGGUCCCCCUCCCCCCUCUGCUGGGAUGGUCAGCAACUUGCUGCUCUUGCAGUGGUGCCACCCAGCUGUCCCUGCAGCCCGACACCAUCAGCUCCUUCCAGCUGCAGGUGGUGUCAGCCUUCACCUGCUGACACCUGGGUUGAAGACCCCAGGGGCCUCUGGCAAGGUGAAAAAGCUCGUGCAAAUCCAUGGGGGACAGCAGUGCCAUUGGUGCUGAUGUCACACUGAGGACAGCAGCCUGUGUGACACUGCUUGCACUGUGAGCUUGGGAGUGGAGCUCUGAGCCACGCUGGGCCCAAGGCUCUGCUGGAUGUGGGCAGCAGCAGGGACACUCCUAAGGUGAUGCUCUUACCACGUCGAGGAAACAAAAGACCUUUUCCAGCUGUAUCCCAUGGGCAGUCAUCAGGCAUCCAGCAAAGCCCCUCCUCCCAGUCCAUCAGUGUGUCAAAGACAUCUCACCUCAAUCAUCCAUCACCCUGCAAAUACAUCUGCACACUCGGUUCAUUGCUCAGGUCCUCAGGUCCUCCUGUGAUGGCUGAUGCUCAAAGCAAGAAUUGCUGCUUCUUGCUGAGCAUGCCCAGCACCAUCACACGGCGGGGCUCUGUCCAGUAAUCAAUCCAUUAACGGGGUGCAGGAGAGGUAAGCGCGUGGGAGAGGGCUACAUCUGCAGGCACUGGCUGAGAGUAGAUUUAUGUGGGAUGUCCUUUAAGGCCAACUUUGGGAAAGGAACCAACUGGAAUAACAUAAGGAAGAGGGAAGUUACUUAGCAGUUUGAAUAGUUAGUAAAUUGUGACAUGCUCACAUGAAAGAACAUGCUGAGUUCACCUACAUACACGCUUUCCAGCAUUAUUUCCACUGAGUCUUUGCUGAAGCGUAAUAGUGAAGCUGAGCUCGUGGCUGCCAAUGGAACAGCUGCAGCAGCAGAUCUAACCACCAGUGCUGCACAAACACAGUGGGAGGCGUCUCCCUGCAGCCACCGCCAGCACUGUGCGGUGCCAGGAGAGCAUCACUGCUGCCCAGCUCCUCUGCUCCCAGCACAGCACUGCCCUACAGCCUGCAGCCCUCCUGGGGAGGCGGCGAAAAGCAGUGGAGGUGCUGCUUUCUCCAUCCGUGGCAGCCACGGGUAACAAAAGCAUCUGCAGUUGAAGAAAAAAUAACCCUCUGCUCCAGUAUUGGAGUGAUUUGUCAUUAGAAAAGCCAAAACCAGCUCAUCUUGUUCACGAGUGCUCCCACUGACUAAAGCGGCAGUCAGCAUGCGCUCUGGUUUUGAACCCAUGCAAUCCUUUUCCGAUGAAGACCUGACAAGCCAGGACAGAUUGCAGGCCGGGAGAUACUCACAGAGCGAUAGUGCCUUACCUGUAGGUGGAUCCUCAUUUUAGAUAGCACGAAGCAGAGCCAGGGAGCUGAUUCACUGCUCUUCUCCAGAUUUUCACCGGAAUAACACCACUGAAUCAUCAGCAAAGUUGAAAUAACAAAUGAUAAAAUGGGACCAUUGUGUUUAAGUUUGCAGCAUGCGUAUGGAAAUGAGCAGCUCUUUCUUGCAGAAUGCCUUUCUUGCGUGGAUACUUUCUGUGUGCUGUUUCCCAAACGUAUCACUAAGAUGAGAAUAUGACACUUAGGCAGCAGUUAUACAUGUCAACCCCCUCCUGCCCAAUUAAAAUCAAAGCUAACAGCUGGUGGGAAUGACCUCAGCACACCUACUCUGCUCUUUUUUCACUAUUCAGAAGAAAAAGGAGGAUGAGGAGGACUUCUACAGCUUCCGAAACGACUCCAUCUUUAUACAUGGUUCGUGUAUUGCUGCUCAGCAGCUAAAGCUUAGAAGCUGCUAAGUUAAGAAACACAGCCCUGGUUUCUCUUCUAUUUAUGAAAAUACUUGCUGAACAAUUGAAAAGGACUGCGUAACUGUGACUUUUUUGCAAGUAAUGCUCUGGAAAAGCAACUGAAGGCAACAGGCAAGCUUGCAAUUAGUAGUUCUAAUUAUAAAGUGUAUACAGAAAACAAUGUAGCAUCAUAAGUAAAGGCCAAGUUCAAAUGAUGCAAUAGGAACAGUAGAACACCAUGUAACAAUGGCAAAGCAUCCAGCAAGAGGAAUACUUCUAAACGAGCCGUAGUUCUCCCGUGAUAGCAACAACAACAAAAAAAGAGGAGAGAAAAUAAUAGCACAGCACUGUAUUCAAUGUAACUGCUGCAGUAAUCCUUUCUCAGUGCCACCCAACGCUCAUGCUUCUGUUGCAGCCCACAGCCAUCCCUGGAUAACACAGCUGCAGAGCAAGACCCAGUAAUGAGUGAUUAUUGCAGACCUGGGGGGGAGGGUCUCCUAUGCUGUUUGUUUAGCCAGGAACUGCUAUUUCCAUCACUGACAGCAGCUACCAAAUACCAAAGUAUGCUGCAGGGGUCUUUGCUGCAUAGUCUGUGGUGUGUAUAUGUGUGUGUCCCCUAAACUUCACCAGUCUGACAGCACUUCAUGUACUGAAUGGGAACUGAGAACCUCCAGCAUUAGUGUGUGCAGCAGCAGCAGCACAGGGUUACGUGCUGUGCUAAAGAACUGCUCUCAAAAUUAAGGCCUGGGUGCAACCAGAGAAGGUGAAGAGACAUAAUACCUUAGGGAAAUGGUUUUAUUUAUUCUGCCUGGAUGCAUAUAUGGCAAUCACCCAUGUAGCACGAUCCACAAUGCUGAAAACCAUUUCAUUAUGUUCUAUAAGUAAGAGCCUGAUGUGGUUCAAUUGUAUCAAUUAUGCAAUGCUUCUAAGUGGUGUAGUCAAGGGUAAAUGCAGGCAAAGGGCACUCCCUUUGUACCUGCUUCUACUCUGGGCACUUCUAAUAUUUACCUGCUCCUCAUAUACCACAGACAGAUGAAUCUGCCCACUUCUAUUUACCGCUGUAUCACUGACUCCUCUUUGGUCAAGAGCUUUUCCUAUGCACCGAUGACACAAUGAAAUAGAAAAUGGAAGUCAAGACACUGCUAUGUGUUCGUCUGUUGUGCAAGAUCUAAGUGUGGCUGCAAUUUUGAGCAAAGCAUCGGUUUUAAACAAUGUUUAAACUGACACUAUUAUUAUGCAAUAUAAUUAAUUAUAGCUAGAAGGGCAUUUGAGGUUAUUUGGCACUACCUUUGUCCAUUUCAUAAUUAUACCAAGAGAAUGACUAAGUUGUGCCUAGGCUAAUUGUACCCAUUUGGUUUUAUCCCUCCUCUCUGCCAUCCUAAGUCACUUGCAUCCUGAUCUGGGAGUUUUUUGGAGGAGUUUGGAUGUGUUUGUGCCAAACACAAUGGAGCCCAGGCUGGCUAGGCAGCCUCAGGACGUGUUUGCGUAGCCAGAAGAUAAAGCUUCGUGGCAUGACGUGAUGUCCUCCAGAUGUACUGGGAAGCCCUUCACACACCUCCAGAGAGCAGCUGAAGAGCAGCAGCAGAUGGCUGUGGCAGCAUGCAACGCACCAGCCCCGCUGCCCUAUGUAUCAUGGGGGCUCAGUGUUCAAGGGAUGCACAGUGCAGCUCAGAAGCCUGGGCUGAUGGGGCUGGGUGCUGCAGCGCAGACAUGGCACCGUGAAACCUCUGUGCCCCAGGGCCUGCAGUUUGCUGCCGGUGUUAGGGCCGUGGUGAGGAUGGCAGCUCACCCAGCCUCUGGAGCCAGGCUGGCUGCCUGACAGCCCGGCCACAAGUGCUGUGCCAUAUUGAAGCUCAGCAGCUGCCCCAAGCUGGCAGGCUGUGCGCCAGCCAGACGAGCUGCCCAGAGGUAGCAGUGAGUAAGGCAUCACUUCUGAACGUGACUUGGCAGUGUCAGGAUUAAAACCAAAGAGCCAACAAAAGCAAAAAUAAAAAUAAUUUAAAAAAUAAAAACAAAACCUAACAAUGAUAACAGUGAUUUCUCCAGAAAAGAAUCAGGUUGAGAAAUGGUCUUACCUUAAGAAAAGGCUCACUGUGGCCUUCCAGAAGGGAGCUCACAAGCAGGAGGGGGACAGGGCAAAGGGGAAUGGUUUUAAACUGAAAGAGAGGAGAUUUAGGAUAGGUGUUAGGAAGAAAAUCUUUACUCAGAUGGUGGUGAGGCACUGGCACAGACUGCCUGGAGAAGCUGUGUAUAUCCCAUCACUGGAAGCCAGGUUCAUUCAGUGCCAGGUUGGAUGGGGCCCUGGGCAGCCAAAUCUGGUGGGUGGCAGCUUUACCCAUGCCCAGUGGAUUGGAACUAGAUGAUCUUUAAGGUCUCUCCCAACCUAAGCCAUCCUAUGAUUCUAUGACUGUUCAGCUACAAUGAAAGGCUAUAGUCUUCAGCUGGCGGCUGGACACUGGAUUGCACUCAUAAAAUAGAACUGCCUGCAAGGACUGAAUGCCAUAAUUAACAGGCAUUUUUUAGAAAUUAUUGGUUAAUGUAAUAGAAAUACUGCCAACUGUUGUUGUUAAAACCUAAGUUUGUUCCUUUGGUGGUAAUGCAUAAUGACUCAACACUGCUUCAAUGGGAAGAUACCUUUGUCUGUUACAUAUUGCUACCUUCAUUUGUACAAUGGUUUAUAUGGCAAAUAAUACAAAUUCUGAAACUUAAAGACAGCUUCAGGAAGUAAUCAGAGUGCCACCCGUGUCCUGAGCAAUCGCAGUACUGGCAGUACAACAAGGCCUUUUUAUCAUAUCAUGGCAUUAAUGAUCCAGUCCCACUCCCACGGCAGGCAAUGUGGCCUUUAUCACCAAUGCUGUUUAAGCAGGACUAAGCUUAAAGGGUUCUAGAACAGGGAAAGAUGCUAAUCUAAGUUUCACAUCCAUCUGGUACAUUUCUCAUGCUGGUUAUACACGACCACCCAGAGAACUACUGCACAUUUUUAGUAACAAACUCUAUGAGCCCUACCAGGGAAUACAGGUUGUCCUCAGAUAAUGGGAUCUACUCAUAUGAUGCAGAUGUCUUAUCACCUAAGAACAUUUUCACAAUAUUACAAUAGCGACCGAAAGGUUAUUUCUCAAACCCUGUCUGUCACCCAGUAGGUACCAGCUGAAAAGUUUCUGUUUGAUUGCUAAAGAGUAGAAAGCAAUGAACACACAUUGGCAAAUCUUAGAUCAGGCAUGAUGUGGAUGUUGCACACCUCAGACUAACGCCCACCUUCACUUCAGGGAAAGGAGAAACCAGACCUGCAGACACACUAAUCGCUCCUGCUCUCACCUGGUUGGAAAUGAACUGCAGAACCUUGCUGCUUUCUAUUUACUGCACUGAGAGCCAGUGAUUUCUGAGUACUUCCAGUCAUCAACUGCAUGGCUAUUGCAGCAUUUUAUGAUGUAAAAUCCUCCUAAUGUACGAAUUAAAAAAAUAUAUAUGCAGUCUGUGCUGAGAUUGACAAUUCUGAUACAAGAGGGGGAGGUGAAGUCCAAUCUCUGCUCAGCUGGGAGGAACGCAAAGGUGAUGACACACCACUUAGUUUUGGGACAGCUUGGAGGUGUGGGUGUAUGACCCACCAAAGCGGGGUCACUUCACCCAAAGGAGGGCAAGCAGCAGAACUGGGCUGUCAUGCACAAGACUCAAACCAUCAGACUGUGCCAGAGUCAAAAUGAGAGCUCCCAGAGCUGGUUUCCAGCUGCACCCACUGCUGAGCAGAGACUGCAUCCCCAUCAAGUGCAGGAGGUCAUGUCCUUCAGCUGCUUCUAAGGGGAAGGCGCUUCAGAGCACACAGGCACAGUCAGCAACGCUGGUGGUGGACACAUGCAGACGUGGCCGAGGAAAGCUAAACAGGAUGCAUCAGCACCAAAGGGAUCUGGGCAGCCCAUCCCACUGGCUUUCAGUAGCACUGAAUAUGACGGGCUCUUGGACAAACCUGUGGAUCCCAGCCUGCCAUGUGACACUGCUAAGUGACUCUUGUCAGUAGAGCGUAGCAACUUGACUUAUUCCCUUCUGCAGAGCACACACUGGCCUGUGUACUGUCCAGGGGAGAAGCAGAGCCUCGCAAUUGGAAGGCGGGCACCAAAAGACACACGUGGGGCUGGAAGCUGGACAGUCCCAGCACCCAGCUCAGAAAUAAAACUGCUUUUACAGCAAGGAUUUCAGUAUAUGGUCUGGCUGUUGCUGACCUUGUCUGAGAACCUCUGGCAGCAGUGUGCCCAAUAGUUGACACGCUGCAGGCCUCUAUCAGAUGACAUUGCUAUUACAGUGCCUGGAGAGGUGGGGAAGUUCAUAUGUUAACAAACAAUACUGAGUGAAUUGAUUCCUCCUGCCUGCAUUGCCGUUGCUGUUCCACUCCCUCCACAAAACUAGGCUUUAGGAUACAGUUUAUUCCCUUUUCCAUGUAUCACUGUAACUGCAGUACUGUUGUAGACCAGCUAGAAGAAGUGGAGUUGUGAAUUCACCUUCUCUUUGGAAAUGUUACUCCAUCCACCCACACCUCUUUCUUCUUUGCUAACUCCAGUCAUCCAUCCCCAGGACCUACACCCACACUGAUCCCAACUCACUGAUGAACAUACAUGGAAACGGGCCUUGCUAAAUAGAUUGCAGCUCCUGUUCCAUAGCUGUGUUUAUAGGAUCAUUUGGAUACUAAAUCUAAUACAUAAAUGAGAACCCACUGGUUGAGUAAGGUCUCUGGAUUUAGUGCUCGCUCCAUGAAACAGGUUACUCAGCACAGCAGCUCCGGGUGCCCCAGGACACAGGGCUCAGCCAAGUGGAGGCCUGACCCCAAAGAGACUAACUCUGAUGCUGUUUGGGAACUUCUCCCCAUAGUGACAGGACACUCAGAACCUGAGUGAGGAGACACCUGAACCAUUCAGGAGGACUCCAGCUUCCACCCAACAGAGGUCCCAUCAGCCAAGCUGCCAGAGGUGCCCUGGAGUCCCAUCCCUCUCUCCCAGGGAAAGCCCUGCAACGCUGGGGCCCUAUGAGCUUGGGCUCAUUUCAUUUAAGUCUUCCCACUUUAUAGCAACAAUGUCCUGAAAAGAUUGGAGGAUGCAGAACAAACAGAAACUCAGCAUGGCACAGCGAUGCAAAAAAAGGUUCCAAAAGGUCAAGACAGGGAGAAGUGGAUGAACUCUGGUAUUUUAACAGCUCGGCAUUGAUGCCAUAAAUUAAAAGGAGGUGUGCUGGAUGUUUUAUUUUGUGUGUGUGGUAAACUGUACAGUUAGAGUCUGAAUAAACCUCUUUUGUCAAUUUUACUACCUUUCUGAUAUAAAAAUAAAUAAACUUAAACAAAGAAGAAGUGGAGACCUGCCAAGCCAGCCUACUUUGGUAAGAACUGCACUGACAAGGGAGCAAUUGUGUCUUAAAGCUGAGGGGCUGAAACGAUCAGCUUUUUUGGGCUGGCAAAGCCCUUCUGGAAGGGAGCUGCUCUGUAUGCAGGAGGAGCUACAGGAGAAGGAAAAAAAAAAAAAGGACACUCAUCUAAAAGGCAACAAAAGAACAUCAUUAAAAUUUCUGCUACCAGAACUGCUUCCCUGUUUGAUGGGAAGGCUGCAGGUAAAUAGCUGCUGCAAAAUAUACCAGGGUAACAGCACCUAGGAGCAUUUUAAUGGUGAUAUAAAAUUCACAAGUAGAUGAUAUAAUGUACUAAGUAACUUAUUAGGCUGAAUAUAAAACAAAGGUAUCAAGAAUGAUGGUUUUACUCUGCAGUGAAUCUCAGCAAUGAGUUCUAGGCUUACCAGUCCAAUGCCAAGCAUGAGAACUUCCAGUAGGCAGCAACACGUAAUUACCGCUGGGUGGAGGUGAAUCAACCACUUUCCGUCACGAAGCCAAUGAGGGACCCUCAGACAAUCUGCCAAAGGUGGGUGGGUGAAUGAGUGUUACUUUCCUGCUAGGCUCCCAUCAGGGCACCACACCUUGUGAUAUUAUCUCUGUAAUAACCAAACAACUUUAAAUGAUAUUGUGUCACUGCAAAUGAAGCAGGAGGGUGACCCAGCAAGUCAGAUUUCAUUAGUGCAUGAGGGACUGCACUCCAGCAUGCAGCUACACACACACACACACACACCCCUUCAGACCCUGGAAACCUCAGCCUGCAAUGCAGAGCAAUCUAAACUUUACCCAUACUUGCCUGAGAUUGUGUCUCUUCCAUGAGAGAUGCACAUGGACUUGCACAUGCACAGCAGGCUUAUCACUACACCCAUGUCCUAUUUGCUUUUCUGUGUGUCACUGUUGAAAGUUUUCUAAUGCGCUAGGUAAGAAGAUUGCAAAUGAAGCAGAACUUCAGCUGCUCAAUCGCAUUAAUACGGGUACAGUAAAAGAUGACAGGAUUACACACAGUUCGUCUAAUUAGCAAGCCAUGUGCAGCAUUGCCUGCCCAAGUGUUCAUGCACUCAGGCUCGUUGCCUCCCACCACUGCACCUUUCCUGCCUCUUUCCUCAACUGCAAUUGCCUGCUUUAGUUCCAGUCACAGGGGACGUAUCUGGUCUGCCAUAACUUUCCAGCUGUGAACACACCAGUGACUCCUGCCAGCCCUCCACUGUUCUGACUAGCAUCUCCAAGAGCUUUCCACGCAGAAGGAGUGACUCAGAAGACUUUGGAGAUGUCGCACUGGCUGGGAGCAAGUGCUGUUGUCUGCCACAAGGAGAGAGCUUCAAGCCAUCCAAGGGCAUGCCAUAUUGGUUCACAAGGGCCUGAACUACAAUAGUUAGGUAAGUUUGAUGACAGAAAGUAAGAAAGAAAACGAUUGGAAAGUCACCAGGUCAGACUGCGGGGCCAGAGCAGGAAAAAGGCUUUGCCAAAGUCAUACCUAGCAAAACUCAACCGUCUUCUGUGAAUUCAACCUCCUAUAGGCCAUUGUGCUAAUGUGUAUUUUGGCAAGUGCCUGACCCUUCCUGUUGACUGAAAUACUCAUGCUCUCUAGAAAUGACUAGGCCUGCACUCAACUCUCCAAGCAGCUAACCUUACCCCUUCUUCUUUCUUAUUUCUUCCUCUUGCAAAACCAGUCAAAUCCCUGCUGGGUGCCAGGGUCAGACAAUACCAUACUUCUACCAUCUGUUGGUCUGGUUCCUCCUCGUUUCCUGUUUCUUCCCUCUAGGACUGCCUUAUGGUAACACAAAAGCCAUGGCAACAACAGUAGGAAGGUCACUCUUGGUGGCCAGGCUGGGAAGAAAGGGACUCCCAGCAGAGGAGAAGUAGGUGUGCCCUGGUUAGGUUGCUUCUGAAUUUGACCUGCUUAGCCACUCCCUACCAAAAAUCUCCUCAACCAGCACAUCAGGCUCAUGCUGUAGGUGUCACAAACUCCACACAUGUAAUCAACUGGCUUCUUCUGAAAGGGAUUAGCCUAGGCAUUAGGAAAGAACUAGGUGUCAUUUUUAAGGUAUCAGUACAUUUUUUGGGGGUAAUAUUCCCAAGCAAGUCCAUUUGGAAGCCAUUUCCAAACACAUGGACAAGAAUGCAACUGAGAACAGGCAGUGUGGAUUUACUAAGGUCAAAGUGUACCUGGCCAACAUGGUUGUCUUCUGUGAUGGAAUGACGUACUGGAUGAACAAGGUUAGGGAUGCUGUGGAUGUCACUUACCUCGGUUUUAGCACAGCCUGUAACACUGUCUCCUGUUCAAAGCAAACUGGGGUGGUACAGACUUGAUGGAUGGCCCACAGCAUACCUGGAAAAAGUACGUGAAGCUCAAAAGGCAGUAAUGGUCAACAGCUAGACUUUUAAUUAAUUGGCAUUAAGAAAUGGCAUUCUUCAAGGGACAACACUAGGGCCUGUCUUCACCAGCAUCCUGGAUGAAAGGCUGCAAUGCACGUUCUGCAUGUUUGCGCAUGACGCUGUGUUCAGGCUGUCGAUCAUUAUGCUGGAGGACAGGACAGCCAUUCACAUAUUCUUCAGCAGCCUCAAAGACCAAUCUUACAGAAAUCUCCUCAAAUAUACCAAAGAGACAGACAAAAUCUGCACGCGAUACAGAAUUAAUCUGAGCAACAGCAGAGGAUGGGAGCUGAGUGGCUAGCAAGGAGCUUCACUGAAAAAAGCACCUGGGGUCCCAGUGGACAAAAUGCUCAUCAUGAGUCAGCUGUGAGGCUGUGCAGUGGUGACAGCCAAUUGCACCCUCACUGCACAGGAUGUAACGGAACCAGAUGCUCAUCAACAGUGCACAGUGCAAGGGCAAUGACCGCAAGCUGUAGUAGGAGAAAUUCCAUUGAAUGUAACUGGAGAAACGCUUCAAAAUGAAAGCUGACAUGCACUGAAACGGGUGCCCAAAGAGGUUUGUGAAAUCUCUACCUUCCAACAUUGAACAGCAAAGCCCUAAGUAGCCUAAGCUCAUGCUGAAGUCAGCCCCCUUUGAGGAGGUUGGCUGCAGCCCUCUAGAUGCUCUUUCCAACCACAAUUAUUUGAUGAUUUUUAAUUUUUUUUAAGCAGCUGUUCAUCUGGGAGACCUGGCUGGAGUUGGUUACAGAUUCCUCGAAAAGAACGAAGCUGUUAUCUCCACAGCAUCACCUGCCAGUUAUUGCUUAUUUGUAAUAUGAAUGAAUUCAGUGCAUACAUCACAAGUCAAGAGACUUCAGUUCUGAGAUUUUAUCUUCGAGGAUCAAAGAACUGAACUUUCUCUCUCUGAUCUUCAACCUGAGCAAAAAAAAAAGAGGUCUGUCUUUAACGCACUGUCAAAACCUCCCCACUUCAGAGGCAGCAUGAGAAAGACUGUUUCUGGGCUUUAUUUUGGAUUUAUGCAGCUCUCACACGUUCUUGUGGUGACAACUGGACAUGUUGUGAGACUUCCUAAUAAAACAAUUGUUUCGGCCUGAAAUGUUGUAGAAGCAGUGUAUAACAUAUGGCCUCCAAAUGCAACACCUACUUCAGCAUCUGCACCCUACCAUAUAUACACGUACAUUUAUAUACAGCAGUCCAGGCUGCCAAAGGCUCAGAAGAUCUGCUAGCUACCAUGAAAAAUGGCUGCUGGCUCUUAGCAGAACCACACUGCAAAUGUGGGGUGUGGAUCCACAAGGCUGUGCCUUCCAGCAGCAAGGGCUGCAGUGCCAGGUGUGCCGGCACACCAGGAGAAGCUAAGGACAGAGGACUCCCCAAAAGGCACUGGUGUGCAAGGGCAUUUUUACCUCCCAGGCUGAGCAGAGACACAGGUCCCCAGCGAGUCGCAGCCCCAGAUGCCCCCUGAAAAACCACAGCUGACCCAGGCACUCUGCAAGCCUGCGGUCAGAACCACAGUGGACACCCAGAGAAAGUAACAGACUUAGCUCUAAUCCCUGCACCAGUUGGUCUCGCAGACCCCGACACAGAACCCGGGCUGAGAAGCAAAAAAUAAAUAAAUAAAAGUAAAAACCCAUAUGUAUUUGAAAGCAUGUCCAGAAACAAACAAGCAAAACCUCUUAUCCAAACAAAUCAUAGUUAGAUCUUGGGUGAGACCAUGUUUAUGAAGGUUUAGCCAAGGAGCUUGCUUGGAGAUACCUCUCCAGCCUUAGCAUAACACAACCAGCCUGGACAAGUGCUACUAGAAAACACUUCAUUAAAACGCUGUUGUGGUAUUUAUUUAUAGGUAGCAAUUUAUAUCACACCCAUCGUACACACCAAUCCGGCAGCUAUGAUUGUCAAAUCAAACUGCUUCUUCCAUAACACCCCCUGCCCCCAGCCCACCUCCCGCUGCCACUCUCUUAGCAAAACAACUGUUUCCCACCUGACACGGCUGUCCCUCUGAAUAUAAGCCUUUGUUUGAACUUACUGAGCCCUACGUGUUCCAAACACAGGUGGGCAUCAAAGAUGCAACAGCCUCAUCAAGAGCCGGGCACACAUCUGUGGUGCUCUGCAUUCUAUUCUGUGAUUCUAUACAACCAGUGACCACUGCAGAGCUCUCCCCAGGAGACAGCUGGCAGCUGCGUUCUGCAUCUGCUGGAGAAUCCAAGUGGCUCUGGACGUAUCAAGGAUAAUACCAGAGAAGCUUCUCUGCGUGUUGUGGACACUGGUGGAAAAGGCAGUGUGAUAAAACACCUUACAAGAAAGCCCUGGGUGUGUCUUCAGCGAGGGGAAGGAAAAAAAAAAAAGAAAAGAAAAGAAAAAGAAAGGAAGAAAAAAAAGACUGGCAAAAAAAGAGGUUAGAUGAGGUAGCUGGGACUGCCGGGGGCAAUCUGAAAUCAGUUUACAUUAGAGCAGGUUGCUCUUGAUUUUGCUACAGCAGUUGUCACGCUUGGUAAGAAUAACAAGCUAUUCAUACGGCAGCCACCAUUGUGCAGCUCAGCACAUGCAGCCUAGUGGAAAGAAAUCCAAGCAAAUGCAGUGACUAGGAUAGGACAGUAAAAAGAAAUGGUUAUGUAAAUAAGUUUCGACUUCAGAAAUCUGCGAGAACAAUUGUUUCCCUGUAAGAGGGCUUCGUCACUGGAGCACGUGAGGCUUUACCCUACAUCUGCACUUCGAAAAGCCCACAUAUACAGCCCGCUGCAGCUCCCAGGUUCUUCCCACCGUCUGUCCCUUUCAAUCUCCAGCUUUUUUUUUUUUUUAAUACUCUCAAGUUCUUCAGCUAUCUAGAGUUCCACCUUCAUGCAUGCCCAGAACUGCCCCAGUCUUGACAGGGCCAAGCAGCUCAGCCCAUUUCACACCUAACUCUGAUCAGGAUCCAGAAACUGGGCGUUGCUUUGCCUGAACCCCCUGAGGGCUUUCAUUGGGGAUUAUAUGUUACCUGGUGACUGUUCCAUGUAAAAUGCAUAAACAGUCCUGGGAGCAGAGUCCAGACUCUCAAACUCCCAUGUGAAUGCUCAAACCAGUAGGAAAGACAGCCACGCUCCCUCGCAUGCACUUGCUUUGUGGCCCAGUGAUUCAACAGCACACUGCUGAGUGCAGGCAAGCAGCGCCGAGCUCCCCAGUGCGUUGUCUGGAUGCUCUGCAAGAGGUGGACGGUGGGAAUGAUGACCCUGAGGACCACAGCGACCCAGUUGGUCACCUUCUGGCUGCCAGCAAUCAAUGUUUCAGAUUAAAUAUGUUUGCUGUGACAGAAAGGCUGGCUGUACUCACCUUGCAGAGGAGCUGUUGGGAUGGGUGUCUGCAGACUUAAAAACUUCAGGUUUUCCUAUUAGUAUCCUGGGUAUAACUUCAAAAGCUUCUAUCUGCAAAUGGUUACACCAGGUAGGUGCUCAGCCUGGGCACUCAGGUCUUGGAGCAUCAAAUGAGGAGGUUGGUGAAGUAGCACACGCUAAGGCAUAAAUGCCAUUGGGAAAAUCUGUGCUGAUACUACUGCUUCAGAAGCAAAGUCCUACUUACCCCAGCACUGCUCUAACUCCCUCCUGGGUAAGGCUCUCUCCCUGACACACUUUGGUCCAUGUCUCUUAAUUUACAGGAGGGAAAAAGCUUGGCUUCUUCCAAAGGCCGAAGAACUGUACUCAGGUAAUUCUUAAAUAGCAACAUGCUCUCUGUGUCAAUUUGCACUGCUCAAAGACACAUUUUUUCAAGAGUUAUUUACUGUAAAAAUGCACGAAUGAUAACAUUUCUUUGAAGAAACAUCACACAAGCCCAAAUGCACCAGAAAAAGCCUGGAAAACACUCUAUUUUGCACACAAAGCAAAAGUUGCUUCUAAGUUUCACUUAUUGCAGCAACUGCUUCACAGCCAGUUUCCCAUUUGCCUCAAUGCCCAGAUAGUUCCUUUGGAAACCACUCAGCACACCCAGUACACACACGUGAAACGUAGGGAUGGAGCUACAGGCCAAAUCACUUCUAGCAAUUGCUCUCAGGUGUCACUGAGAGCAGAGCUGUUCACGUUGCGCCCAGACCGUGAUCUGGGGGCAACACCUCCUUCUGGUACCUCAGAAGGACAUGGAAAGAAAAAGCUUUGAAAACUCUUCUCAAAUGUGUAAUUCGGCCCAUAACCCACUGGGUUUCCACCACCACUCACCUUUGGGUUGUCACUGCAUUUCCUACUGCGGGCAACAUGAGGGACUCCCAGCUAAAAGCAGAAGCAGCUGCCAGCCGUGCCGUACAGCCACUGCUCCAACAAUCUCAUGCCCUCUGCAGCUUGGCACAAGGCAGAGGGAGAGAUGCCAUCCCUGCUGGCUCCAGCCCCAGGACCACCAUGAGCUGCAGAGCCUAUGGGUGCUGCGGGGCACACACAGCGUGCUGACAUCUGUCACAAAGGUUGGUGGUUAUUUUGACUGUGCCACACGUGUCUGUUGGGCAAAAUGCAAGUGCAAAGAGGAAUGCAGACAACGAGCACUCCCAGCAUUUCAUAUCUAAGACAGCGUGAAAUACUACAGUGACCUGGGGCUGUAGCUAAGCACCUGAGCACCUCUAAAUGAAUGUAGAUACAGCAGCUUUUAAGCAAGGCCUCUGUUAGGACAGAACAGGCUAUAGAAGCUGUACGGAAGAAGGCUGGCAGGUGAACGAAGGGUGCUCCCCUCUGUGAGGUGCAGCAAAGCCCAGGGCUUAUGGGAGAGCAGAAGCACCUGUCUGAGGCUGACAACUGCCAGGCAUGUGAAGUGCUGAGGCACACGCUGAGGAAGCAUGUUGGUGUGCUAAGGGAAGGCUGCAUGGUCCAGCAGUAGCAAUGCAGCUCUCUGACCACAGCACCACUUGCAGGGCACUGAGCAUGCUAUCCUAUGCAAAUUCGUAAUGGCUUCAGGAGAAAAUUAACAGAUGGUCGUGGGGGAAAACUCCCAAGGGGUUUUUUUCCCCCUUCUCGGUGCUAAUAGACUACUUACCAUUUUCUGAAACCACCUGCACAAUUUCCCAGGCAUCGUGGUUGGCUGCUGGCGAGAACAGAGUGUGACUGUAGUGCUGUUUGCAGCACUAAGAUGGCUUUCCAUUAUGCGCCUCUCACGUGUCCAUGAAAGGCUGCAUAACCCAGAAAUUCACUGUCAUGAUGGGGGUUGACAACUAAUGCCCAGGAUCAGGUUCAGGGAAUGCUUAACGUUUUCUAGCUGAUCACAUUACUUCAGGUACCAGAUAUACCAGCUUUCCCAUUGAUAUUAGGGGAUAAGCAAAUCCUCACUGGUCUUUGGAGGAAUAGUGCAGUGUAUCACUGUUGCUAGUGACUCCUGAAACCCACUGCAACAGAAACAAUACAUGUUACCCCAAACAAAGUGCAGCAAGAGGAAAUAGCACAACAUCCAGGGACAGGCACAGAAAGCUCCACCACCCUGUGUGUAUAAUGCUGUGGGAAGGUGAGGAUGGGCAGCAAACACGUAACUCAUGAGUAAUGAACACGUGGAUUUUCAUGUGGCAUCACCCUUCUGCAAGGGCUGCCAGCCAGUAAUGCUUGCUGCUCUCCCUGCCAGGACAUGUGACUUAUGGCAUGGCCACAUGUUCCUUCAGAGCAGCGUGGCAGCACAGGAUCUAGGACUUCAUGCCACCUUCCUCCUAGCUUUGCUCUGGCUAAAAGGUAUUUGCUCAGAUCCUCAGCUCAACCAGAUUUCAUAGAAGUAGGUAUCAGUUCCAUUACAAUCCGGCUGCCCACACCAGGUGUUCUGGGAUAAACAUCCUCAGAACAUCAGACCAAUUCAAGAAUCUCUGCAAACUGUACUGCUUGCCAACCAUCCAGCUGCAGCCAGUCACACAGGUACAGACACACAGGGCAGCACCAGCCAUGCCAGCUUCCCCCCCGGCCAAUGUUUGUUCUUCCUUUCUUCCUUCCCCUUUUUAGCAUCUCACAACAGUCAGGCAAAUAGGAGGAGCAUCCAAAAUACUCCUCUCCUGGCAGCCAACAGCCACUGACACCAUUUCCUGAUGAAUGUGAACACUCAAGUUGCAGGAAUCCUCAUUCCAUCCCACUGCAAAGACCCUCCAAUCUCCCAAGUGUACUUCCCUGUAUGCUCCUCAUCUUCCUCACUUCCACAGCUGCUACACAGCCUCAGUCCUCUGCUCACUGCCAGUCAGUGAAUGACUGCAGAAAGCCCCUCCUCACCGCUCCUCUGCCACUGCCUCCACUGGGGGCAGGCCCAGGAGCUUAAGAAGCCUUUGGUAUGGCUCUGGUACCAGACAGAUGCUGAGCUCACAGCCAGAUGUGACCUGCUCUGUAGGGAAAAUCUUCCCUCCCCAAGCUCGUUCCCUCCCACCUUGGUUAACAGGCAUUUGGAACCGGGCUGUUGAUUUGUUAAAGGAUCAUUGCCUUUUGAAAUCUCAUUGCAGGAAGCCAGAAAUUGCAGUUUGCAAUCUGCAUGGUUCCUGUUUCCAAAGGUGACCUCAUGCAUAUGUGCACUUGUGCCGUGCACCCCAGCUACCUUCCUUCAAGAAAUACCUACCUGUGCGUGUGGCAAAGCCCCUCAUGGACCUGUGCUGUGUGUGAUGGCAGUGCCACGCUGCCUGUGUGUCGGCAGUGCCUGCUCUUGCAGUGUGCACAUCACAGGCUCUAUUUCAGGGAAUAGCUGUGUGACAUCCAAUGUGCCUCGGGCCGGUGCAGCUGAAGGACAUGAGCAUUAAGAGUUACAAAUGAGAAUGUGUGGUUAGCUGGCAGCUGGCACAAGUAUUGCUUUUUUGUGAUAAGCACUUUAAGUGUCUCAUGAAUAGGAAAGCCUUUUCUAACAAACCCUGCCUGCGCUCAGUAAGUGAACCACAAAGGACAGAAUCCAACACUGCCUGGUGUCUCAAGGCAACUGUUCCUUGGACAACAACUAUCUUUUUUGGCAAAAGCCCAUGACAAGGCAGAGGCUGCAAUGCACGCAUGCUCAGUCCCUUGGAAGGAUCCUCUCAGACACCCAUGUUUGAAUUUUAACUGCUGGCCAUGGGCCAGGCUCUGAGAUGAUGUAGGUGGUCUUGCAGGUUGCAUCAGUACCUUCACAGGGUGCAGUAAGUGGGUCAGCUACCACCACAGCUCUGCACUGGCAUACUUCCCUAGGGAAGGUGCACAGGUCUGACUGAGUCUAAGGGAGAACUUCCCAGGAGACAAGUAAUGCUCUAUCUACUAUUUCAUCCUUUGCUCAGUUUCCAAGACAAGCACUGGCAAAACAUGGAAGGUUCUUUUGCUGCUGUUGCUGUGGAUCCCCAGCUACAAAUCCUCCGCACAGACGUUGAAAAUAAUCUGUGAGAACACGGAUUGUUUCUAAACUGGCAUUUUCGUCUAGAACUGUGUCGGAUACAAUGGUGAUGGAAGGACAGUUAAGCUAGGCCGAUUUGUUACAGUAAAGCUGUGUUGUACUUCAGAUUACUUAUUAACAAACAGCAAAUGGGCCUCUGCCUUGACCUUUUUCAUUUGAGCAAAUAUACUCUUCCUGCCCCCUGUAAACAGCAGGGACUGGUAACUCAGUCACGUACCCCUCACAUUACCAAAGUUAGCUUUCUUCAUCUGCGGCAAGGAGUUCAGUCAAACUGAAUUCUGCCAAGCUCACUAAGGUUAUUAGCGGUGUUAUUAGCCUUAAUAAUACCAGCAGUAAUAAUAAUUCUCUGGAUCACCGUAGACUUGAGAACAUCUAAGUAAUUCAAAAAUAUUAAUUAGAAAAACUCAAUAGGAGGUCUGAGAAACCACCAAAAAUCGUCAGCCUCGCUUCACAGAGCUAAGAGCUGAAAAUAGAGCCACAGCAAGCAGAAGCAGCUGUUAGCCUGAUGAGUUUCAAUUAAUGGGUGUUUCUUUGGUGUCAUGAAAUGCCAGGUGCCCGGUGCCUCUGGCAACACUACCAGGUUAAAAGCAGCAGCCCACAGUACGUAUCUGGAGCAAUAGCAGGUUUGGGAACUGGAAUCCAAAGGAUAGAUCUGCCAUUGAGACUUGGCCUUAGAGUGGGAUGCACUCUAGGUGCCUUGUACAUUGGGAAUAAUGGCCCCUUAGGCUCUUUGGAAAAUUCCAGUCCUGAUGAUCUUCAGUGUAGCUGAAGACCAAGAACACGCCUAGAACCUACACAUGCUCUCGUGCCAACAUGCCAUCAAUACCCACUCCUUUUAUAUUAAACCUUUUUGAGUGAAGAAGGCAAACUGUGACAAACACUCCACUGCAAUAGCUAACUCUAUUUCCUACCUAAUUAUUUCCCUGACUUCUCUCUAUUGCUAUUAAAGCUCAAGGGGUGGCCAAGUCAAGACAACAGCACCAAGAAGUUUGCAGCGUUCAUCUUGGUUCUAAGUUAAUUUUUCCUGUAGAUAUCACCCCAAUCCACCUUGAAUCACACAGCAUUAAGCACUCAGUAAACAAGGUGAAAGUUUCAUCUAGAUUCUUAACCAGUGAUGUUGCAGAGUCUUUGCAGCAAGGGGUAAUUACUUGUAUUAAUUACAGACUCCUCUAGGGUACAUUAUGCCACUGCACAGAGAGGAUUGGACAUACAAAUUGGAGGAGUGACUCUUUUUGCUUUCUUUGAUUUGUUCAAAAACCUUACCAUUUGCAGGCAUGGGAAGGACGCAGGCACAGUCAAUCUCAGUGUUUUGUUUGCAGUCAGGAUGACGCAGUGCCAAGAGCAACAGCUUCACAAUUGAGAGAUCCAGGUGCUGUUUCUCACUCUGACACACACCGCUCACGUGACCCGGAGCAUGUCACAUAACCUGUCCGUCCC